rnacentral:tRNA from 1 species
UGGGGUGUGGCUCAGUGGUAGAGCUCUUGCCUGGAAUGCAUGCGAUCCUGGGUUUGAUCCCCAGAACUGCAA